rnacentral:misc_RNA from 1 species
GAUGAAGAACGUAGCGAAAUGCGAUAAGUAAUGUGAAUUGCAGAAUUCAGUGAAUCAUCGAAUCUUUGAACGCACAUUGCGCCCGCCAGUAUUCUGGCGGGCAUGCCUGUCCGAGCGUCAUUUCAACCAUCAAGCCCCCGGGCUUGUGUUGGGGACCUGCGGCUGCCCGCAGGCCCUGAAAACCAGUGGCGGGCUCGCUGUCACACCGAGCGUAGUAGCAAUCACCUCGCUCAGGGCGUGCUGCGGGUUCCGGCCGUUAAACAGCCUUACAAAACCCAAGGUUGACCUCGGAUCAGGUAGGAAGACCCGCUGAACUUAAGCAUAUAAUAAGCGGAGGA